rnacentral:lncRNA from 1 species
UUGUUUUAUUACCUUUAAUAGUUAUUGUUGUUGGAAAAGUAAUCUAGAAGUCCUUUGUUGGCUAAUGAUUCUCUAACAUUUUUUUUUUAAAUUUCAUAGUAGUUGUAUUUUGCUUUGACAAUUUAGUUUAGUUUUUUUAUUGAUUCCUGCAUCGACAAAUGAAUUUUGAACUUGUUCUUGCAUAAUUUAUCAUGGGAUAAAAUGAAUUGGUGGUGUAGGUUUGGAAAACAGUGGAUCUGGACCCUGUGGAACUUUGGUUUUAUUCUGUGUUUAUUAUUUUCUUUGAUGCUAUUAUGCACGGAUAAACUUGUGGACUGGGAAUGCUUACCUCUUUAUGACAGGCAUUGUAAACGUCUGUGUCAGCCAUUUAAUUUUCUCUUUCUAGUUCACACUCAGACAUUUCUUUCAGCAACUGAGUCAUUUAAUCGCAAAGAGAGUUUUGUUUCCUUUCAUGUUCUUUGUUGUCAAUACAACCUUUGUUUCUUUCUUAUCAGCUAUAGUAUUUAAUUCAAUGCGAUCUCAGGAUGUGUUACUUGGAAGUGAUGUGGUUAUUCAUUCGAGGAUUGAUGUGUUAUUUGGAAGUGAGGUGAGGCUAUCUGAAUACCGGAAGGAGAUCCAUUCUCUUUGAUGACAGAUGCCUACUUGAGUUUGGAUGUAGUUAUUUAUUUGAUGACAGAGAUCUAUCAUAUGUAACUUUCUGUUAGUUCCUUUUCAACAGGGGAUUCUGGUUGAGGAUUAAAAAACAUAAAUUUGAAUAUUGUUUUUGUCUAAUUAUUGAAAUAUGACAAAUCUAGCGGUUUGAUAUGUGAAUAUGUUGAUUCUUUUUCAGCAAAUCAUAGGUUAGUAACAAUAAAAUGCUCAGGGAAGAUGUCUCCCCUCUAUUUGAAACUUUGUGGAUUGAGCGUAUUUUUCCAGACUGAUAUGUGAGGUAGGAUGUGGAAACACUUACCAGGACAUUUGUGAAGCUUUAGGUUUUGUUACCCUUACCAUUCUUGUGUCUUUAUUUGUGACUGACUAAACUUCUUGUUUGGAUUCUAAGUUUUGGUUGGAUUCAUUGCUAACCUUGUAGUUUGACUGGCAGUCUGGCAAUUCUUGUGGGUUUAGAGGUCGUGUAAUUUGGGGAGGACUUGUCUGGCAGAAUUUUUAACUACUUAUAUGAAGUACUGAAUUAAUAGUGAAAAAAAGAUAAAAAAAAUAUAUCAUGGCUAUUAAAAGUUUAUGUUUCUUGUCCUGUUCAGCCAUGACACUUGUGUGAACACUUGCUUCUUUCUCUAUUGCCCCAUAUGCAUUUUUUUCACAAUUUUUACUCUUUUUUAAGUUAUCCAUUUCUAAGUAAUUUAGGCUUCUCGUAGCUUUUACCAGUCCUGGAUUCAUAGUGAAAUUUGAACCUUUUACAUGGUGCAAUUGAAAUUAAGGAGUGAAUUAUUGAUCUUUAGUUUUACAGUACUGAAUUAAUUUUGGAUUUGCUUUGGUGUAGCAAAUUUGAAAGGUCAUUUUCUUAGUUAUUACUUCAUUUACUAAAUAAUCAAGAGCAUUGGACAAUUUGAUUUUGUAGUGUUUUGUUUGCUGCAUUGACAAAUGAAUCUUGCAUUGUAUUGUUUUUAAUAGUUCUGGAUUACAUUCUGAAUAUGACAUAUGAUGAUCUCUUCUAUCUUCCAAUAUGAGAAUGAUCUGCAACAUUAGAGUUGUAUUUAGUUCUAUCUCCAAAGGGAGAAUGAGAAAUUGAGAGCUCUAUUUAGUUUUAUCUCCAAUUAUCUCUAAUAUGAGAAUGAGAAACAACAGUAGUUGGAAUGUUUUCUGGCAAUCUUCCUGUGCUAUGAUUCAGUUCUCUCUCCAUAUAUGAGAAUAAGAAAAUGAGAAAGAGAAACAAGAUUAUUUGGAAUGUUUUUUGUCGUAAUCUUCUUGCACUAUGAUUCGGUUCUCUCCCAAUAUGCGAAUGAGAAACAACAAUAUUUGGAAAGUUGUCAUAAUCUUCUUGCGUUAUAUGAUUCGGUUCUGUCCCCAAUAUGCGAAUGAGAAGAUGAGAAACAACAGUAUAUGAGAGCUCCAUUUAGUUCUAUCUCCAAAUGAGAAACAACAGUACAUGAGAGUUCUAUUUAGUUUUAUCUCUAAUAUGAUAAAGAAGCGAAACAAAAGUAUUUGGAUUGUUCUCUUUGUAAUCUUCGUGUGCUAUGAGCAACGCCUCCCCUCGAGGCUAUGGUAACGGGUGAUGCCUCUCUAUUCCAACAUGAGAUCUCUAUAUAUUAUGUGGAAGCAGACACCAUCUUUUUGUCGUCUAUAUUUCUCAGCUCUUGCUGAUUUUGCCGUGCUGUUUUCUUGAUUUACCAUGCUUUUUUUUAUCAGCAAAGAAUGAAAUUAAAUUAAGAGGGAUACAAAAGGGGUAUCUCAACUCUUUUACAUAAACCAAACCACAUUAAGAAUCUCCAAGAAUAAAGAGAUGAAUAAACACCACAGAAGCAAUAGAUAGAUAAUGUUUGUUGCAUAAGUUAAACAUCCUAUUUCAGCUAGCACCGUGCUUGUAUUGGAAUGCUAUAAGCACUGCAAACUGCAGCUACAAAACCAUCAAAAUACACCAAAAUUGGUUGUCUCCACCACCUCAUUGACAUUCCUUCUACCCAACUUGCAGUGGCACGAUUGUAGCACUUGUCACAGAAUUAAUCACUUCAAUGCAGCAUCUUCCAUUCACUCCUUUUUGGACUUUGGCUUCUCCUUGUUUGCUCCUUUCAAGCUCACUUUUAACAGAAACCAAGUUCCUACUUGCCAAGGUCUAUCUCGCACUUAGAUUGGUUGGAGUUUACAACUUCGAGUUACAUCCCCCAACAUGUCUGAAUCCCCACCACAACCUCUACUGCUACCAUCUACAUGUGAGACCACUAGUUGAUCAGCAAACACACUUAGGGAUUUCCACAACAACCAAAACACCACAUAAAAAAACACAGUUUUUGUUUCCUGCAUAAAGAACCCUGAACCAGCAUACACCUUGCCUCUAUUGGUCUGUUAUAAGACACAUCAAAACAGAAUCUUUCAUCAUGUCCUUAACAUUCCUUUUGACUCCCUUGCAUACAAGCACAUAUGUCCUUUCCAUCUUGCACUAGCUGCAGGCCGUGACAAACCCACCAACACCUCCAACCAACUAUAAAUCCAGUAUAGGUCGUAGUCUUAAAACUCUUGGCACCUGGGAGUACUAAUUAUAACUUCUAAUGCAAAGCAUUGGAUUAAGAAUCCAGUCUACGAAAGAAUAAGUAAAGAAAUGCACCUUGUGUUUCAUCCAAAGCCAGGAUUUGAGUUGAGCCUUCUGAAACACCUCCUCCGCAUCUACUAGCCCUUUUUUGAAUACAAUCAGGUUCCUUUGGUCCCAGAUACACCUAAUAACAGAUGCCCAAACACCUUUCCAUACCAGGUUUUGCUUCUUACUAGCAUUGCUCAGAUAAAAACUCAUAAAGUGCAUAAUUAAAUCAUUUUGUUGAACAGAAGAGAUACCUAUCCAUUUGAAGCACAAGGACCAUACCCAUUGUGCGUAUUUACACUCCAAGAAGAUAUGUUGACAAGACUCCUCCUUAAGCUGACACAUUGCACAUAACGUAGAUUCCAUCAUUACCCCUCUCCUACUCAAACUCACCCUUGUUGGGAUUCUAUCCAACAACACUCUCCAAGCUGUCACGAUCACAUUUGGGAAUGCCUUAGUCUUCCAAAGGAGAUUAAACACAUCGGAUUGGGUUCCACGAGACUGCUUGGCAAGGCACUCAUAAGCAGAAUUCACAGAAAAAAAAGGGCUGGUUCUUCCUUCCCCCACACCUGCACAUCCACGUCAUUCCUUCUCAUUAGUGCCCCUGAUAACAGUGUAAAGAGGUCUGCUUCCAGUGAUGAUUCCCACUCAAAUCUGGCACGCCUCCAUGUCAGCCUCCAUCUCCAAUCCGAAUUAAUCCACACGCCAACUUCACCCACCGUUUGCCCCUGUUUUAAGGAUAGGGAGAACAGUCUUGGAAACAAGGAUUUGAGAUCAGAGCUCCCAACCCACACCUCCUCCCAUAACUUUACUUUGUCUCCACACCCUAGUUUUCAGCUUAGUUCUUCUUGAAACCAUCAUUUUCCUCCUCCCUCCUUGCACACUUUAAAGAGAUCUUUCCACCACCAAGAUUUUCAGCUUAGUUCUUCUUGAAACCAUCAUUAGUCCAAUUUUAAUACAUGAUAUGACAAAUGGAUUGAAUUAUGAUAUUGUCUCCUUGAAGCUUGAAUUUAUGAUCGUGUCUCUGUGCGCUGUGAUCUUAGUCACAUUGGUGGUAUAGACAAAUUGAAAAGAAGGAUCUUGGAGUCAUUCCUUUCAUUUUAGUAGUGGUAAUUACCAAGAGCUCAAGACUAUUUGACUUCAAUUUUUUCAUUACAAAACUUUAUUUUGUCUUUAUUAGUUUCUUUCAUUGAGAAAUGAAUUUUGAACUUGGGUUCUUGCAAAGCAUCAAUGUUCUUGCCUAAUUUGUGUUGCAAGAUUAUUGAUCUUUUGUAUUGGAGUUCCAAAAAUUAUAGUCUACUCAAGACUAAUUUCAUGAGUCUUGACUUUGCUAUUCUUAUUCGGAAGGUUUGUACUAUGUAUGUUUUGUCUUUUCUGAUUUAAAGUGUUUUUCCUUGUUUUUAUUUGUGUGGUUCAGACUGAAUAAAUGAGAUACCGAUUUUCUUGUUCUCCUCAUGUUACAUCAACCAUUUUAUUGCUACUUUUAUUCAUUUGCAAAGGCUCAGGAUAAUAUUAUUUCUUCAGAUUUCUAUGUACUUGAUAGUAAAUUUUUAGGUGUUGCAUAGCGCCUGGUAUGACUUUCUCUAUUGGUUUUUCAUUCUUGAAUUUAUGAAUUCAUCUUGUCUAGAUUCUAUACUUCUAUUAAGAGGACCUGGUAUGACUUUCUCUAUUCCUAACAAAAAAAACUUUUGUCCUCAAAAUUACCUAAAAAAAUAAUUAGGAUAUGAUUCACUUGUCUUCUUUUUCAUCUCCCGCAUAUAAGAUCUCACAACACUUUGACCUUUCACAACACUUUGGCCUUGUUUACACUUUCAUUUCAAAAGAUGGAUUUUCUCUUACAUGAAUUAAAUCAAAUUUUGUGUGACUAACUUUCCUUUUGUUGUAUACCAAGUUAACCAUCCAAUCUAUUUUUCCUCAAUCUUAAACACACAAUUUAGGUUAGUCUUAUGUUUUUCAAGCUUCUAGAAUAAUAUUUUUGCAUAAAGGUUAUUGUCAAAAAUGUCUAAGACGAUGUUGAUGUAAUCAAACUUCACGAUCCAUGACUUGACUUGUUAUAAGAACUAUAUAAACAUAUGCAUGAUAUAAAUCAAUAUCAAUAUAGAAAUCUUUCCAUGUUUAUUGGAAAGAUUACCUUUAAUUUUUAAUGGACAUGAUAUGAUACUAACCUUUCUAACUCAUUUUGUUUUUUUUUAACAAUAUUCUUAAAUUCAAAAAAAUGUGUAAUUAUAUUACUCACCUAACUCUAACUCAUUUUGUUUUUUUCUUAACAAUAUUCUCAAAUUAAAAAAGUGUGCAAUUAUAUUACUCACCUAACUGUUGCGUCUCAAAAAAUGUAUUGUAUGUUUCAACACUAGAAUAUUAAUUGUAAAAUUGACUUGCAAUGCGACCAAGUUUGGUAAAAUAAAAGUUAUUUUUUUCAUUGAAAUGCAUCAUUUUUUUCCAACACUAGUCUUUUUAGGACUAAAAGUAGGAUUUGCCAUUGCUUCAUUUCUCCAAAGGAUUCAUCCUCAUCUUUAUAAAAAGAUAAAUAUACUCCAAUCAAGCGUAAACUUCUUUAACAUUAGUUACAUACCUCUUUCACCACUUUUAUCAAACUAAUGUCUUCUUUUUGGUCAAUUAUCCACAUAACAUCAAGCAUACCAUUCAUUUUCAUAUAAAAAUAUUUAGUUUUAUUUGUUUUUAAUAGGUUUAAAUAUUUUUAAAAUUUGAAUCAACCAAUUGCUUCUCUUUCACUUCUUUUAGAAACUUGUUAAGCAUAUGACAAAUAAUAUGAGUUGAAGAUAUAGGAAUUUCUAAAUCCUACAUUCUAAAUUCUAAAUCUUUAAUCAUAGGUGUUGACACUUGUGUCUUCUCAUGAAUUGAAGCAUAUGUAGCAACAUUUCCUAUCUUAGGAUGGUACCUCAACAAAAAAUUGUAAUCUUUCAAAAACUCCAUCAAUUUUCUAUUAUCUACUUUCGUUAUUUGUAGGAUAGGAAACUAAUUGUAUAAUAACACUAUUUCAUUUCGACUUAGCCACGUUCAACUAUUGUAAUUUUCUCCUAAGUCUUUGAAGUUUCACUUCAUGAUAGUAAAAAAUAUAUUUAACCACGUCUCUUUUUAUGUUCAACUAUUAAAAAACUUGUGUAGUACUGAUAUAUAUUAGUUGUGUCUAAUGCAAAUAUAUUUAUUUUAUAAUUUUUAUACUAUAUCAUUUUCUCCAACUUAUUAUUUGUCGAUACACAAACUUUAUCUUGAACCUCAGAAUUUCAUUUACUUUCAUUACGAGAUCCUUAGCUGUUUUUGUACUUAACACUUAAUUAACUUAAGUUUUCGACCAUCACAAUCAACCAAGAUUAUCGAACUUGAUAGUUUAGUAAACUUGUGAAAGGCUUGUAAACUCAACUUGUAGACUCGUAAGAGUCUUGUUCAUAUAAAAUAUUGACAAAAAAAUAUUUAUGAUACCAAUUUCACAUUAUUAAAAUAAAAAAAUUCAUACAACAACAAAUUUAUUAAGACUUUGACUUCUUUUGUUACUGAAACACAAGGUUCAAAAUCAUAUAUCUUCAAAAUCAUAUAUCUUCCCAACAAAAUGAUGUUUGAAUGUGAAAAAUGUCUCCAUUAAAUAAUAAUUAUAUUUCACUUUUUUAUUGUUAUCUAAAACAUAUCUUCGGUGUUUCCAUCCAAUUUACGCAACAUUUUUAUUUCUAGAUGGAAGUGAUAAAGAUGUACCGACACACACUACCAAUUGCAACCAUUUCCCAACAUAAUAAUUAUUUUAACUUUAUUUUUUAACCACACUAAAAAAGACAAAAUCUUGAUAAAAAAUUAAACUAAUUUUUAGAAUUAAGAUAAAAAAUUAUCUUGAUUUAAUCAUGAAUGUGCAUCACUUUUUUUAGAUUUUUUCUUUUUCAAUAAUUUUAUCUUCAUUCAUUAUAAUAUAAACACAAUCUCAAAAUUUUUUUUUGAACUUUCAACUAAAAAACUUUAGUUAUCUUUAAAGUAGACAUAAACAAAUAUAUGCACAUGCAAAAAUAACCCACUACUAUGGAUGACAAAGUCAGGCAGGUCAACUCAUUAAGAAAGAACGCAGCGGAUGUCCUAUUUCAACUUGGGCUGAUUCUCCCUACACCCAAUCAAAUUGGACCUGUACCCAAUUGCAUUUGUGAAAGUACCGAAAUACCCUUAAUGAAAAUGAAAUUAGGGUUUAGUGAUUUCUGCACCCAAUCACACACCCAAGUUCGUUUAUGCCAUCCUCAUACUCAACAUCAUCUCUCGCACGAGCGUCCGCAUCCUCGCACCUUGGUUGGCAUUUCUCUGGCAGUGUAGUGUUGAGUGGAAGGACCCCUUGAACAAAGACGAAGCUAGGAGCGCGAAGGUCGUCCAUUGUUGCGCGAAGGUUUUAGGGCAUCAUAUGCAUCAGCGCACCCUACAAGCUUUUUCAAAAUAAACAUGACAAUGGUACAAUUGGAUUUUAGAAUGUUUUUCGGGUGCCAAUCACAAUUGAUUGGGUGCAGGAAGAAAUUGCUUUCAACUUGUUGACUUGCUUAGGCUCACCUCGCAUAAUCCGCAGUCCGCACGGGCCAAGUACAAGACGGGACAGGCUAACUCACAACCAACAUAUUUUAAAAAAUUAGACAUUUUUUUGCACCCCAUAAUUUUUUUUUUUAGCCUCAUAAUCUCAAAAAAUUUAAACUAUUCAUUCUAAAUUUUAUAAUCAGUAAUACAAAUUUGUAUUAUAAAGUGUACAAUCUAGAAUGUUGUACAAUCUUAAACCAAAUUUUAACUCUUAGAUUCUAUAACCCUAGAAGUCUCUAAAUUUCACAUUCCGAAAUUAAAGAUAAAACAUUCAACAAAAAAUGUCAAAGGAUAAUUAUAAUAUUUUUUGAAGUAUGGGGUGUAGUAAGUAGGGGUGGCAAUGCGGGCUGGCUCGCCCCGCAUUUGAUUCCCAAUGAGUGCGAUUUCAUUUCAAUGACCACCCCGCAUAAGAGGUAACCGACGGGCCUGAGGGCCAAUCCGCAUAAGAAAAAUAUUUAUUUUCAAAAAUUAAAAUUUCAUCAAAUAUAAAAAAAUUUAUUCUUACUAUGGAAAAAUUACAAUUUUAUACAUGUUUCAAUUCGUUCAAUUAAGAUAAAGUUAUAAAUUCAAGUGUGAGGAUUGUUAGAAGGUUUGAUUAAAAUUAACUAAAGUUUUAUUUUUUGCAUAUAUUUUUCCUAUAUAUGUAUGUGAAUGUAUAAGAAUACCUUAUCAAAGUUUUGUUAUAAAAUAUUUUAAUGAAGAUGACUAAUUUUUUUAACUAUCCUAUUUAAAUCUCUUUUUUUAUAUUUUUUUUAUUAACAAAUUUAAAAUAUAAGAUUUACUUAAAAUCAAAUCCAAUGUCACUCUUCAUACUAACUCCAUGGCUCAACUAAAGACCUGGUCCUGGGUAACCUAUAAAAUUCAUUUUGCUUAUUUUUCCUUUUGUGACUGGUGUUUGGAUCCCUGUUUAAUUAAACAUAAGUGUUUUAUUUAGGUUGGUUAGACUCUAUUUGUUCUAGUAGGAAGUUAGUGAUAAACUUCCCAAAUGAGGGUUGUUAGUUUUUGUGUGAUUUUGUACAUGAGUUUGGAUCACUCAUAAAGUGGUUCUUAUUUAUUUAUUUUUAUUGUUGAUAAAAAAAAACUAACUCCUUUAAAUGAUUAAAAUAAAAUAUUUUUUUUAGUAGAUUAAAUUCAAUUUUUUAAAAUAAAAUAAAUAAAUGUUGCACUACAAGGGUGAAUGAGGUAUGAUUUUUUUUUACAAAAAAUAAAAUAAUAUUUUUUCAUUUAUACGGGUCAACCUGCCCCGCUCCGUUAUUGGUCCGCUCUGGGAGUUAUGCGGGGCAGGUCUAAGCAGGUCAGCAGGGUAGAUUAGUGAGCUCGCCCUGCGCCUUUUAGUAGCGGGUUGCGGGCUGACCCGCCCUACAUUGUCAUCCCUGGCAAUAAGAAAGACAUGGAGGUGCAGGAAGAAACUAUCCUCAAUCCCUAGUUCAUAACACCUUCAUGAAAUUUGAUAAUAGUCUUUUUUUCCUUUUUAAAAUGCAUAAAUUUUAUAGGUUUCAAUAUUCAUCAAAUGUUAAAUGCAUUAGUCAGAUUUUGGCCUUUUUAUAAUAAAAUUUAAAUAUAUAAUAAUAUUAUUAUAUAUAUAUAUAUAUAUUAUUUUUUAAAUUAAAAUAAUAAUCAUGUAUCUACAUGUAUUGUCUUUAAAAAUAUAUAUAUUUAAAGAAAUAUUUAUUAGUCAAUUUAUUAUAAUUUUUUUAUCCAUAUUUUAUUACAUAUGUCGUGAGAAUAAUAUUAUGAAACUAUUUACCUAAAUCAUCUAAAUAAGAAAAAAAUUAUUUUAAUAAACAAAACAAAAUUUUAUUCAAAAUUUAUAUUUAAUUUUUUUCAUUAAUUAAAAAAAAUCUUAUGUGGAUCGGCUUGUGGGUUAGCUAGCAUGCGAGGCGGGCCAAUAAAAGCAACCCGUAUAUUUUACGCGGUACGAACCAACGUAGCCUGCAUUUUGUGGGCCAAAUGCGAGGCAAACGGACCUGCAUUGCCAUCCAUACGCACUACCCUCAUGUUAUCCUAAGGUCGAACAACUCUGAUACCAUAAAUGUAACACCCCCAAUAUUUACUAUACACUUAUUACAAAGUUUAUUGUAAUAUAAUUUUAUUACAAUAAACGUAUUCAAGAACUACAUAAACCAUACAUGGAUUUAUAUAUCAAGGAUAUUUAAUCCAUUUCUGCUCAGGCUAAAAUAUUCCCGCUCAAGUUGACAAAAACUUCUUUCUUUUAUUUUAUUUUUCUUCUUGUCUCAUCAAUGAAUUGGAUUCUUUAGCAAAAAACUUUGCUUGAACAAAAAUAGUGCUAAAAACAAGUUUGAGUGCUUGGUUAUUUUCGCUUGAGCAAAAAUUGGCUUGCUUGAGAAAAAUAUCAAAAAAAUCAACUAUUACAAUAAUACAUAGUCAUUUUUAAAGUUGUACCUUAAAAGCAAUUCAAACUCAAACAUUAAAAAUAUGUUCAACAACACACAACAUCAAAUAGAACAUCAAGUGAUCACAUCACUCUUUAAUUUAGGUUAUUCUGCUAAGGCUCUACCAAAAAUAUAAUUAUUUUUUCUUAUGUGAAAUUCCUUAUUUCAAGAAAAAAAAUCUACCUCAAACAAAAGAACCACUCAAAAUUUAAAGCUCUAAAGCAAAAUAUCCAAACUUAAUUAAAUUUUAAUAUAAGGUUAAUCAAGUUGAUGAUCGCUUUUGACAACUAAUUUUACCAAGAUGGAUGACAAAAUUAGAAGAAAAUAAAAAAAAUAGAGAAUAUUUAGGAUAAAUAAGAACUUAUCCUGUUUUGAAAAUCUAAUUGGAUAAAAAUGAUUUCUAACUCUUUAGCUAUUGUAGGGUGUGAUGAAAAUUUGAAAUAAAUGAAGUGUAAAAAAAGAAAAGUAUAAAGAAAAGGAAAGAAGAAAGAAAAGAAAAAAAAAGAAUAUUAGGAUAUAAUUUCUUAUCUUCUCUUCCAUAUUUGAAGUGGAAUUAUCGUAUAUGAAAUGUUAAAAAAAUGACUACAUUUAUAUUUCUAUUAUGAAAUUGUUUUAUUUGAAAAUAUAUUUUCUUUUACUUACACUGAAUUAUAUUCUAAAUUAUAAUUGAAUUGUGUAUAUAUUUGUUAGUUGCAAUAAAUAAAAAAUAUUAUAAUAAAAGAGAUCAAACAUCUUAUUAAUUUUUAUGUAAUAGAAACUAUUCUCUUUGAAAAUAUGGAAAUAAGAAAGAAAGUGGAGGCAUGAAAGGGAUUUACUUACAAUUAUUCUCAACAACAAAAUAUUUUAUCAUUCAAAAAUUACAUUAUUUAGAAAAAAGAUUAGGAUAUAAUUUUUUUUAUAUUCUCUUUCAUUUAUGAGAUGAAGUGGAAUUAUCGUAUAUAAAAUCUUAAAAAGCUGACUAUAUUUAUAUUUUUAUCAAAUAAGAAUUAAAAAACAGACUUUCCUUAAAAAAUAUAUUUUUCUUUUACUGAAUUAUAUUCUAAAUUAUAAUUAAAUUGUGUAUAUAUUUUUGUAGUUGCAAUAAAUAAAAAAUAUUAUGAGUGUUGACUAAUAGAGAGAUAAAACAAAUUCUUAUUAAUUUUUAUAUUAAAUUGUCUUUUCUACACUCUAAGAAAAACAUACUUACUAAAGUAUGAAGUUAAAGUUGUUCUUAUUUCAUCUGUAUAAAUUUUUUGCCGACUAAAACUGUUUUGAACUUUCACUACAAUUUUGAAAUUUGGAUUUACAAUUAAUAAUAACAGAUGAAAAUUUAUUAAAAGAUCACCAUUAUUUAAAAAUAAAAAUUAUUUGUUUUAAAAUAUAAAAAAAUCGAUUGAACUUAUAAUAUAUAACUAUUUAUAUUAAAAGUUUUUUUUUUCUGUAAAUUAUUUUUAGAAAUUAUGCUAUUAAUUAUUGGUGAGAUCAUAGACUUUUUCCCUUAAAAAAAUCAAAAUAAAACAUUAAGUGUGGAUGACAAUAACUUUUGUACAGCUACAUUAUAUAAUAUUAAUAGCUUUCCUUGACAAUUUGAUUAUUACCCAUCGCAUAUAACUUUAGUUUUAUUAAUCAAACUAUUUAUUUAUGACUUAAUUUAAAUAAACAUUCUCAUGAAAAAAAAUUAAUAUUAAAGUUAUAGUAUCUAAAAUAAUGUUUAGAGAAUCACGGUCUAAAGAAAACUAUAUUUUCAAUUUUCUUUUACCAUGUCAAUCGAAUAAAUUAAUUAAUUAAGUCUUCUAUUAAACUAAUAAAAUUCUAUAUAGAAAAAUUAUAAAUUAUUUAUUUAAAAUUUACAUAUCUUCUCACAUUAAAAUAUGUGAACAAUUUAUUUUAUUAUAAUUGAUUCACAUAAGCUAAAUAAUAAUAAUAAAAGUUAAGAAAAAAUGUAACUAUAUUUAAAUUUCCAUACAUAAUAUACUAAUAAACUAUUUAUUAUAUUAUAUAUUUUCCCGUUAAGUGAGUUGGCGCCCAAAAUCCUCUCUCAAUAUAAAGACAGUAACAGUGAACUAAAGAAACACAACAGAACUAAAUUUCUAAUUUUCUCUCCCUUCGAUUACGAGUUCAAGCGACUCGAGAACAUUCGCCGCAACGUUGAGGUGAUGGCAGCGCUCAAACUCCAUUCUAAAGCCACCCACAACUCUCCAAAGGUACUCUUCUCUCUUCUGUAACUUACCAUUUUUUUGGAAAUCUCCAGAGUUUCUCCAGAGGUGAAACUGAAACCCCGAUUGAAAUAUUAUGUUUUGGUCAAUAUCCAAGAUCAGUUUUGUUGGUAUUGCUUUGGUGAUUUUGUUUUGUUGGUGUUGCUUUGGUUAUUGUCGUGAUUCUCUAUAAGGAUUUGUGGAAUUACAUGAUGUUUUCGUCAUGGGAUAGAAGAGUUAUUAAGAAUUAUUAGCAAGUGAUCAAUGUGCUUUUAUCGGAUUGUGAUUCAUUUACGCCGAAUGUGAUUCUUUGUGAUGAUGGCGAGUUUUAAAUCUUUUGAUCAAAUCUUUUUUGUCUAUGGAUGAAAUGAAAAACAUAAUAGUUCAGAAAGGCCAAUUGAUCCAAGUCUUCUUUUAAUCUCCUUUCUAUUAUUUAAUUUAUAUGGUAUUGAUCACCGAAAAUAAGGAUUGGAUUAUGAUUUGUUUAUUAGUGUUUAUCUGCAUCUGCAUCUUUAUCAUUUUUCUACACUUCUUUUUAGUAAGAGCUUAUUUCGUUUUCUUGAAUUUUUGGCUGUACAGCUAAUUCGUUUCUUGAAUUUUUGGGCUGUAUAGGGAAGGCACGCAAUGGAUGUGUGGUGUAGUGUAAGACAUGAUGUGAAGUAUUAUGUUUUGUUACCCUAAUUUCAGUCUGCUUGAUCUCCAAGGAUUGAAUGGUGUUCCAUGUUGAAUUUUUUCUACUUGAUUUCCAAGGAUUGAAUUGUGUUUGAUGUUUGAAUUAUUUUCACUUAAUGUCCUGCAGUAUCUCAUGGAGUAUGUUAUAUAAGGCCUAAGGGUUGAAUCAUCUUUUAAUUUCUUCUAUGUGUUGAACUGGAGUUGAUCACCGAACAUUAAGAUUUUAAUUGUGAUUUGUUUCUCUGCAGCAGGGUUUUGUUUAGUUUUGUGUGAUGACCUGUAUCUCAUCGUGCCUGUUAUGAGCAACUAAGGCUCCACCGGUUUUGAAUUCAUUAAUUUAUCUUAUCCUUUCUUAAAUUCUUCCCAUGAUGUGUCGAGCCUAUAAGUGGCUCCCUUGGUUUUGAAUUUGUGGCCUCCCUUGGUUUUGAAAUUUUGAAUUUACCUUAACCUUUCUAUACUAUGUCAUGUCAUCUCUUUAAAAGAGAAUAGUUUUCUCGAAUCUCCAUGAUUCUUGUUCAGCUUUUAUUGGAAGGCAAUAUAUAUGUGGGCAGGUUUCAGAAACAGUAAAUGGAGGUCGUGUGAAACUUUAGGUUUUUAUUAUCUUUGCGGUUAUUCUUUUGGCUAAACUUGUGGAGUGGGGUUCUUGUAGACAGGCACUAUAUGACUAUGAGAGGCUUUGACAUUUGUGUUUGUGUCUUCGACUUUGAUUAUCUUCUUCUACGUGUUGCAGUGUCUUUCUACAUGUUGCACUGACUUGCUAUGGAUGUCUGUUGGAUUGUGGAGACAAUUGCGGUAGAUUAUUGGACUUACUGUGAAGCUUUAGGUUUUAUUAUGUUUUCAUUCACUAUCUUAUGUGCUUGAUUUGAAAUGGCUGUAUUCUCUCUUAUUGGUUGAAUAGUAGGAAGCUACACGUGUCAGUCACUGUGUGUCUAAGCUAGGGCGAUUCUUAAUUAUGCUUAUCCUUUAUCUCAUGAUCCCAACUAUCUUCCAAAAUGAGAAUGUUCUCCAUAAUGACAGUAAUAUUUAGUUAUAUUUCCAAUAUGAGAAUGAAAAACUAUCUCUCAAAGCUAUGAGAGACCAAUUCCAAAAGGAAAGCUCCAACAUGAGAGCUCUAUUUACUUCUUUCGGGUUGGGGUCUCAGUAUUUGUGAUAGGAUAUGGAAGCAGACUGUAUCUUAUUUCUAACUAUAUUUCUCAAUCUUAGUCCCUUGCUGAUUUUGGUCUUUAUUAUUUAAUGUUUUUGGACUUGAUCACUUAACAUAUGGGCUGAAUUGUUGUUUAUCUACAAUAGUAUUUCAAAGUAUUUUUGUAAUCUUCUUCGUGCUCUUGGUUUUGAAUGGUGGCUUCCCUUGAUAUUUUAGAUUAGUGAAUUUAUCUUAUUGUUUCUUUACUUUGUCAUGUCAUCUUUUUAAGAAGAUUAGUUUUCUCAAAUCGCCAUGAGUCUUACUUGAGCUUUGUCACGAGUCUUAUUGAACUUUGCCACGAGAAUUCUUGAGCUUUGCAACGAGUAUUCUUGACCUUUUACAUGAAGGAUGCAACGGUCAGGUUUUGGAAAUAGUGGAUGGAGAUACAUUUAAACUUAGGUUUUAUUAUCUUUGCAUUUAUUAUGCUGAUAAAAAAACAUCUUUGCAUUCAUUAUUUUCUUUGUUGUUAUUCUUUUUGCUACUCUUGUGGAGUCGGAGUUCUUGUAAUUGGCCAUUUUACUUGUGUUGUAGUGAACUUUGAGCUUCGCCAUGAGUCUUCUUGACCUUUGCCAUGAGUCUUAUUGAGCUUUGCCACGUGUUUUCUUGAGCUUUGCCAUAAGACUUCUUGAGCUUUGCCAUGAGUCUUAUUGAGCUUUGCCACGUGUUUUCUUGUGCUUUGCCAUAAGACUUCUUGAGCUUUUCCAUGAGUCUUCUUGAGCUUUGCCAUGAGACUUCUUCAGCUUUGCCAUCAGUCUUCUUGUGCUUUGCCACGAGUUGUUCUUGUGCUUUGCCAUCAGGAGUCUUCUUGAGCUUUGCCAUGAGACUUAUUGAGCUUUGCCAUGAGUCUUCGUGAGCUGCCAUGAGUCUUCUUGAGCUUUGCCACGAGUCUUGUUGUGCUUUGCCAUGAGACUUCUUGAGCUUUGCCAUGAGUCUUGUUGUGCUUUGCCAUGAGACUUCUUGAUCUUUGCCAUGAGUCUUGUUCAGCUUUGCCACGAGUCUUCGUGAGCUUUGCCAUGAGUCUUCUUGAGCUUUGCCAUGAGUCUUCUUGUGCUUUGCCAUAAGUCUUCUUGAGCUUUGCCACGAAUCUUCUUGAGCUUUGAGCUUUGCCACGAAUCUUCUUGAGCUUUUACAUGAAGGAUGUAGGGUUCAGGUUUUGGAAACAGCGGAUGGAGUUACAGUUAAAGUUUAGGUUUUAUUAUCUUUGCAUUCAUUAUGCUGAUAAAAAAAAUCUUUGCAUUCAUUAUUUUCUUUGUUGUUAUUCUUUUUGCUACUCUUGUGGAGUGGGAGUUCUUGUAAUUGGGCCUUUGACUUUGAUGAUUUGAUUAUCUUCUAGUUGUGUUGUAGUGAACUUUGAGCUUUGCCAUGAGUCUUCUUGAGCUUUGCCAUGAGUCUUCUUGAGCUUUUCCAUGAGACUUGUUGAGCUUUGCCUUGAGACUUGAUGAGCUUUGCCAUGAGUCUUCUUGAGCUUUUACAUGAAGGAUGUAGGGGUCAGGUUUUGGAAACAGCGGAUGGAGAUACAGUUAAAGUUUAGGUUUUAUUAUAUCUGCAUUUAUUAUGCUGAUAAAAAAAUUCUUUGCAUUCAUUAUUUUCUUUGCUGUUAUUCUUUUUCUACUCUUGUGGAGUGGGAGUUCUUGUAAUUGUGCCUUUGACUUUGAUGAUCUGAUUAUCUUUUUCUACUUGUGUUGCAAUGAACACUUACCAUGGAUGUUUGUUGGACAUAUUGUGAAGCUUCGGGUUUUAUUACUUUUCUACUCACUAUUUUUCUUAUGUGCUCGAUAUGGAAUGUCUAAAGUUUUUCUUAUUGGCUGGAUAGUUGGAAGGUAUUGUAUGUAUCAAAGCAAGAGCGAUACGUCUAGGUCCUCCAUCAUGUACCCUUAUUGAUUAUAGUUUUCUUGAAUUCAUUGGCCUUACACGAAAGCUAAGCAAUGAAGUGUGGUGUAGGAUGUAAAAAUGGUGGGUGGAAAUUCUUUGAUCGGUGAAGCUAAAUCUUUUUUUCACCAGGACAUUGUUGUGUUCAUCUGAAUUAAUUUUUAACUGGCUCAACUUGUGGGUUUGAUUAUAAUCUUGGUUGUAACUUGUUGGUUUGAUUAUAAUCUUGGUUGUAUUUUGAUAAUGUAUGGUUCUAAGAGGAAUUGUGGGAUGAGCAUGAAACAAGUGCGGUUGGGCUUUACUCUUUGAUUUGAUGGUUUGCUUCUUGGUUUGAGAAGUUCUUUCUACUAUUUAAUUUUGAUGACUUCUCUGCAUAAUUCUAUAAUAUAGGUCUUUUGUUCUAUAUAGGUCUUUUGUUCUUUUAAUAGUUUUCCAAAACCUUUCGAUUCAUUAUUCUUGAUCCCAAACUUAUGGGUUGAGUGAACUUCUUUGGAAUUUUUGCACGCUGAAAUUUUUGAAAUUAGUAUAAGAAUGAUCCUGAAAUUGAAAUUAUUUAAAUGCUUCAGUUUUGUUUCAGCAAUCUUCAUAUGUGUUUCUCGUUCCUCGAUUUUUGAAAUUUGCAUUUAUUUGUUUGCAACACAUUGAGUCUUUAUCUGAGGUUUUUCUUUCAGUUUAUUAACUCAACCAGUGAUGGAAUAUAGUGGGACGACUAACAUGUCUAAUCAACCAGUUAUAGAUUUUUUUUCUUUUUUUUCUUUAUUGUUUAUUGAGUUCAGUGUUUUCAAAAUAUUUCUGUAAGCACUUGGGAUUGAAAGUCCAACGUUAUGCCUGACAUUAGAUAAUUGGACUUCUUUUAUUAGUUAUCCAAAUGAAUUUGUUUCAUAUUUGUUCUAUUUGGACAGGAAUUGUAUGAAGAAAGAUAAUGGAGUUUUGGAGGUAAAUUUGUUUCAUAUUUGUUCUAUUUGGACAGGAAUUGUAUGCGAGAAAGAUUAUGAAGUUUUGGAGGUGAAUUUGUUAAUUCCAGUCAAAACGACGAAGAAAUCUUGAUAAAGUAGUUGUCCUUGUUAUUCUAUUUCUCUACCCAAUCCAGGUGUUGCAUUAAUCCCUUUUCAGCAUACAGAACUGUGAUCGAUCUUAAGUUUGUAUGCAACGACGUUUUUGAAAAUUUUGUGUCACAGACUUAUUAUUAGGACUUAUUACCUUGAUUUUAUCUGAUCAUUUUGGACUUGGUAUCCUCUUUUGUGGGUUUUGGUUUGGUUUCAAUUUUCAGUAAUGUCUGAUAAGUUGGCAGUAUUGGAUUUCCUUGUUUGCAUAUCAGAAACUGAACCAAUCUCAAGGCAUUAAGUUUUUAUAGUUGGAGUAGUAUGAGACAACUUUGUUUCUCUGAAAUUUAGAUAGUCUGUUUAAUAUUGCAUGGUAGGUUUUUUAUACUAUGUACAAGUAUAUCCAGUUUUAUUUGGAUAUUUUUUAGGAACAAUGCUUUUGGAAUAGGAUUGUUUGAGUGCUACCAUGGGAAAGUUCAACUUGAAACGACAACAACUCAUAAUAGCCUAAUUUCUUCUCUAUGAGGUUUCACCAUUUAUUUUACUUCUAAGGACUUGAGCACCAACAUUAGGAUUGAAUUGUGAUUUGUUUUUCUACAGUGGUUUAUGAUUGGAUUCAAUCAAUGUCUGGAUCUCAUCGAGCCUUUAAUGAGAUUGUUUCUGAGUUUAAGAAAACGUCUAAUAUUUUCUAAAAUUCCUCCCUUGGAACAAGUGUUUUUAGUUUUCUUGAAUUUUUGCUCUUUAUAGGUAAGACAAGCAAAGGAUGUGAGGACAUGUAGAAACAUGGGGAUCAAUUGAAGCCUUAGUUUGUGUUAAUUCGUGACUAGUUAUUUGAGUGCAGUUUUUUUAUUUGGUGACAAAGAUCUAUCAAAAUAAAAAAAUUAGUUUAAGAUUUCCUCUCUAUUUGAUAUUUUCAGAUUUGAUCACCAAAUGUAAGGAUUUUCUGUCGUCAUUUGUUUUUCUACAGUGAUGUUUGCAUUAUGUUUCAUGCUACGUCUAAUGGAUCAUGUUAUCUGGAAGUUUUUAUGGCUCUUGGUAACAGGCUUUACAAGGGUUUUCAGAGGAUCAGUAAUUUUAGAGGUGAUACCUAUUAUCAUAAUUGUGUGUUGCAGUGUGAAUUGUUCAAGUUUAUUCAUCUGCAAAAGGAAUCAGUUCUUCAUUCAUCUUUGCAGAAGAUUAGAUGGCUUGUUCAAGUUUAUUCAUUUGCAAAAGGGAUCAGUUCUUCAUUCAUCUUUGAAGAAGAUUAGAUGGCUAACUUUAUUGUCCGUUCAUUUGAUCCAGUAAGAGCCCAUUCUAGAAAUGUGGACUUCUCUUUUUUGUUCAUUUUUAGAUUUGGAAUUGUUUAAGUACCAACAACAUGAUUUCAUGGUCUCUUAUGAUUUCUCCUGAAUUCUUAGUUGUUGUCCUACUACCAACCAUGUGUGUAAAAGUUUGAAAUAUACGUUGUGGAUAUUUUCUAGGGAUAUAUAUAUAUAUAUAUAUAUAUAUAUAUAUAUAUUUAGUUGCUAGUUUUAUUUUUGAUUGAAUUACAUAAAUGAUUUAUUAAUAUGAUUAUUUGAUUAUAUCAGAGUUGUAGUGCUUUUUAUAAAAUUGUUCUUGGUAGUUAUGUAAUUGUUCAUGGUUGUUUUAUUACCUUUAAUAGUUAUUGUUUUUGGAAAAAUAAUCUAGAAGUCCUUUGUUGGCUUUUGAUUCUCUAACAUUUUUUUUUUAAUUUUAUAGUAGUUGUAUAUUGCUUUGACAAUUUAGUUUAGUUUUUUUAAUUGACUCUGAUUGUUAAUUAAAUAUUUAUUUACAUUAGAAUGUUGAUGAUGUAAAUGAUUUCUUUUAAUGUUGAUUAUGAUUCUAUUUUAUAAAAUAUUGUGUUAUGGUAAUCAUUAAUUAAUUGCUUUGUAUGCACUCAUUUAUCAUAUUGUUGUAUGACAAAUCUUAAAGCUCCCUAAGAGAAAGGUUCAUGGGUUGCUGUGUGGAAAGUUCUAAAACACGCUCAAUAUAGUAAAUUAUGGAUCAUGUGCUUUUACGGAAGAAUUAUUAAUAAAUUGAAGUACAUGAAUUCUUAGUAUAAUUCUCUAGUUGAUGAUGACGAGUUUUUAACCUUUCGCUUAAAUUUCUUUGCACCUUUUAAGCUUAUGGCUGGUUCACUGAUAUUUCUUUUGCCUUUGGAUGAUAUGAAAACCCCAACAGCCAAGGGCUAAGCAUAACGGAAGUCUUUUGAGUUUCCCUUUUAUUAUUUUUUUUUCUGGUAUUGAUGACCGAACAUAAGGAUUGAACUAUGAUGUGUUUAUCUGCAGUGGUGUUCGGAUUAGUUGGGUAUAUUCGCAUUAUCAAGUUUCUAUACUUCCUCUUAGCAAGAGCGGUUAUUGUUUCCUUCAAUUUUUUGACUGUAAAGGGUUUAUCGUUUCCUUCAAUAAAAUUUGAUAUUCGUGUUCAUUCCUUUUCAGCAAGUCAAGAGUCUCUGAGAUUUCUUUUGGCGGUUGAGGAACAAGAUGGUUUUACAGGAUAUUCUAAUUUCUCUAUACUUGAUCACCAACAUUGAAUAGUGAUUUGUUCUUAUGCAGUAAACAUAAAGAUUUAUUUUUGAUUUGUUUCUCUACAGCAAUGUUUUGAUUUUUUCGUAUCUAAUAGUUCUUUAUUACUAGUUAUAGUUCUGUUAAUUUCUCUAGCAAGAGCUCAGGACUAUUUGGAUUCAAUUUUUUUAUAACAAAACUUUAUUUUGUCUUUAAUAGUUUCCUUCAUUGACAAAUAAAUUUUGAACUCGGUUCUAGCAAAGCAUCAAUGUCUUUGCCUAAUUUGUGUUUCAAGAUUAUUGAUCUUUCGUAUUGAAGUUCUGAAAAUUAUAUUUUUUUCUUAGGUGGAGAAGUAUUGAAAAGAUGGAUCUUGAAGUUAUUCCUUUCAUUUUAGUAGUGUAACUAGCAAGAGCUCAAGAUUAUUUGCCGCCAUUCUUUGAUUACAGAAGUUUUUAUUUUGUUUGUUUCUUGCAUUGACAAAUGAAUUUUGAACUUGUUCUUGGAUAAUUUAUCUUUGGGAGAAAAUGAAUUGGUGGUGUAGGUUUGGGAAACAGUGGAUCAGGACACCCUGUGGAAAUUUAGGUUUUAUUAUGUGUUUAUUAUUUUCUUUGCUGCUAUUAUUCAUGGAUAAACUUGUGGAUUGGGAAUGCUUACCUCUUUAUGACAGGCACCGUAAAUGUCUGUGUCAGCCAUUUAAUUUUCUCUUUCUAGUCCACAGACAUUUCUUUCAGCAACUGAGUCAUUUAAUCGCAAAGAGAGUUUUGUUGCCUUUCAUGUUCUUUGUUGUCAAAACAACCUUGUUUCUUUUUUAUCAGCUAUAGUAUUUAGUUUCACUGCGAUCUCGGGAUGUGUUAUUUGGAAGUGAUGUGGUUACUCAUUUAAGGAUUGACGUGUUAUUUGGAAGUGAGGUGGUUAUUCAUUCGAGGAUUGAAUUCCAUUCCCUUUGACUUGCAUUGUUUGUGUUCAUUGCUAUCAAACAACUUUCUUCAUUUUAAAUGUAUGGAGUCUAUUUUUUUAAGAUGAAAUCCCCACUAAAUGUUUAUGUUUUAUUUUUUCUUUCUUUUUCAUCAUCUCCUAGUUAUUUGUGUUUCUCAUAGGCUUGGUCUCAUCCCUUCGACUUGCAUAUGUUUGUGUUCAUUGCUAUUGAACAACUUUCUUUUUUGCCAUUAGUCUUCUGGAGCUUUGCCAUGAGACUUCUUGAGUUUUGCCGUGAGACUUCUUGAGUUUUGCCGUGAGACUUCUUGAGCUUUGUCACAAGUCUUCUUGAGCUUUGCCACGAGUCUUCUUGAGCUCUGCCAUGAGUCUUCUUGAGCUCGGCAAUGAGUUUUCUUGAGCUUUGUCGUGAAGAAUGUAGGGGUCAGGUUUUGGAAACCGUGGAUGGAGAUGCAGUUAAAGUUUCGGUUUUAUUAUCUUUGCAUUUAUUAUGCUGAUAAAAAAAAUCUUUGCAUUCAUUAUUUUCUUUUUUGAUAUUCUUUUUGCUACUCUGGUGGAGUGGGAGUUCUUGUAAUUGGACCUUUGACUUUGAUGAUUUGAUUAUCUUCUACUUGUGUUGUAGAGAAUUUUGAGCUUUGCCAUUAGUCUUCUUGAGCUUUGCCAUGAGUCUUCUUGAUCUCUGCCUUGAGCCUUCUUGAACUCUGCCAUGAGUCUUCUUGAGCUUUGCCAUGAAUCUUCUUGAGCUUUGUCAUGAAUCUUCUUGAGCUUUUACAUGAAGGAUGUAGGGGUCAGGUUUUGGAAAUAGUGGAUGGAGAUACAGUUAAAGUUUAGGUUUUAUUAUCUUUGCAUUUAUUAUGCUGAUAAAAAAAAUCUUUGCAUUCAUUAUUUUCUUUGCUCCUAUUCUUUUUGCUACUCUUGUGGAGUGGGAGUUUUUGUAAUUGGGCCUUUGACUUUGAUGAUCUGAUUAUCUUCUUCUACUUGUGUUGCAAUGAACACUUACCAUGGAUGUUUGUUGGACAUAUUGUGAAGCUUCAGGUUUUAUUACUUUUCCACUCACUAUUUUUCUUAUGUGCUCGAUUUGGAAUGUGUACAGUUUCUCUUAUUUGUUGGAUAGUUGGAAGGUAUUUCAUUGUAUUGUAUGUAUCUAAGCAAGAGCAAUACUUCUAGGUCCUCCAUCAUCUAACCAUAUUGAUUAUAGUUUUCUUGAAUUCAUUGGCCUAAAAGGAAAGCUAAGCAAUGAAGUUUGGUGUAGGAUGUAAAAAUGGUUGGUGGAAAUUCUGUGAUCAGUGAAGCUAAAUGUUUCUCUCAUUAGGACAUUGUUGUGUUUAACUGAAUUAAUUUUUAACUGGCUAAACUUGUUGGUUUGAUUAUAAUCUUGGUUGUAUUUUGAUGGUGUAUGGUUCUAAGAGGCAUUGUGGGAUUAGCAUGAGACAAGUGUGGUUGGGCUUUACUCUUUUAUUUGAUGGUUUGCUUCUUGGUUUGGAAAGUUCUACUAUUUAAUUUUGAUGACUUCUCUGCAUAAUUCUAUAAUAUAGGUCUGUUGUUCUUUUAAUAGUUUUCCAAAACCUUUUGAUUCAUUAUUCUUGAUCCCAAACAUAGAAUUUUUGCAUGUAAUCUCGUGUGAUCCUAGACAACAAUGUCUCUUACUAUGAUGACGGACAUCAAUGUCUCUUACGCUGAAAUUUUUGAAAUUAGUAUAAGAAUGAUCCUGAAAUUGAAAUUGUUUAAAUGCUUCACUUUUGUUUCAACAAUCUCAUGUGUUUCUCGUUCCUUGAGUUUUGAAAUUUGCAUUUAUUUGUUUGCAACACAUUGAGUCUUUAUUUGAGGUUUCUCUUUCAGUUCAUUAACUCAGCAAGUGAUGGAAUAUAGUGGGACGACUAACAUGUUUAAUCAACCAGUUAUAGAUUUUUUUCUUUUUUUCCUUUAUUGUUUAUUGAGUUGAGUGCUUUGAAAAUAUUUCUGUAACCAAUUGGGAUUGAAAGUCCAGCGUUAUGCCUGGCAUUAGAUAAUUGGACUUCUUUUAUUAGUUAUCCAAACCGUUCAUUUUUUUCAUAUUUGUUCUAUUUGGACAGGAAUUGUAUGCGAGAGAGAUAAUGAAGUUUUGGAGGUGAAUUUGUUAAUUUCAGUUACGACUAUGGAGGAAUUGUAUUUUGGAGGUGAAUUUGUGAAUUUGUAUGAGACAACUUUGUUUCUCUGAAAUUUAGAGAGCCUCUUUAAUAUUGCAUGGUAGUUUUUUUAUACGAUAUACAAGUAUAUCCAGUUUUAUUUGGAUAUUUUUUAGCAACAAUGCUUUUGGAAUAGGAUUUGUUUGAGCGCUACCAUGAGAAAGUUCAACUUGAAACGACAACAACUCAUAAUAGCCUAAUUCCUUCUAUAUGAGGUUUCACCUUUUAUUUAACUUCUAAGGACUUGAUUACCAACAUUAGGAUUGAAUUGUGAUUUGUUUUUCUACAGUGGUUUAUGAUUGUCUUCAAACAAUGUUUGGAUCUCAUCGAGCCAGUUGGUUUCUGAGUUAAGAAUUUUUCUAAUAUUUUCUAAAAUUCCUCCCCUGAAACAAGUGUUUUUAGUUUUCUUGAAUUUUUGCUCUUUACAGAUAAGACAAGCAAUGGAUGUGUGACGACAUGUAGAAACAUGGGGAUCAAUUAAAGCCUUAGUUUGUCUUAAUUGGUGACUAGUUAUUUGAAUGCAGUUUUAUAUGUGGUGACAAUGAUCUAUCAAAAUAAAAAAAUUGGUUUAGGAUUUCCUCUCUAUUUGAUAUUUUCAGAUUUGAUCACCAAAUAUAAGGAUUUUCUGUUGCCAUUUGUUUCUCUGCAGUGAUGUUUGCAUUAUGGCUUUACAAGUCUUUCAGAGGAUCAGUAGUUUCAGAGGUGAAUUGUGUGUUGCAGUGUAAAUUGUUCAAGUUUAUUUAUUUGCAAAAGGGAUCAAUUCUCCAUUCAUUUUUGCAGAAGAUUAGAUGGCUAACAUUAUUGUUCGUUCAUUUGAUCCAGUAAGAGCUCAUUCUAGAAAUGUGGACUUCUCUUUAAAAGCCUUUGGUAUUUUAACUAUCUUCAAAAGAUAUUUUUUCUGGAUCUAUUGUUUUGACAGAGCAGGUCUUCGAGGAAGACACGAGUGUUGUUGAUUUUUAGAUUUGGAAUUGUUCAAGUACCAACAACAUGAUUUCAUGAUCUCUUAUGAUUUCCCCUGAAUUCUUGGUUGUUGUUUUGCCAGGGUAGGGUCUGGGUAGAUUUGGGUUUUUGGAUUCGGAAUUGUCCAACUACCAACAAUGUGUGUACAGGUUUGAAAUAGAUGAUGUGUUUGUCAGAUAUUUUCUAGGGAUAUAUAUAUAUAUAUAUAUAUAUAUAUAUAUAUAUUUAGUUGCUAGUUUUAUUUUUCAUUCAAUUACUUAAUUGCUUUAUUACUAUGAUCAUUUGAUUAUAAAAUUAUUCUUGGUAGUUAUAUAAUUAUUCAUGGUUGUUAGAUUACCUUUAAUAGUUACUGUUGUUGGAAAUAUAAUCUAGAAGUCCUUUGUUGGCUAAUGAUUCUCUAACAUUUUUUUUAAUUUUAUGGUAGUUGUAUUUUGCUUUGACAAUUUAGUUUAGUUUUUUUUAUUAACUCUGAUUGUUUCCAGCAUCGACACAUGAAUUUUGAACUUGUUCUUGCAUAAUUUAUCAUGGGAGAAAAUGAAUUGGUGGUGUAGGUUUGGGAAACAGUGGAUCAAGACCCUAUGGAAAUUUGGGUUUUAUUCUGUGUUUAUUAUUUUCUUUGCUGCUAUUAUUCACGGAUAAACUUGUGGACUGGGAAUGCUUACCUCUUUAUGACAGGCACUGUAAAUGUCUGUGUCAGCCAUUUAAUUUUCUCUUUCUAGUCCGCACUCAGACAUUUCUUUCAGCAACCAGUCAUUUAAUCGGAAAGAGAGUUUUGUUUCCUUUCAUGUUCUUUGUUGUCAAAACAACCUUUGUUUCUUUCUUAUCAGCUAUAGUAUUUAAUUCACUGCGAUCUCAGGAUGUGUUAUUUGGAAGUGAUGUGGUUAUUCAUUCGAGGAUUGAUGUGUUAUUUGGAAGUGAGGUGGUUAUUCAUUCGAGGAUUGAGUUUCAUUCCCUUUGACUUGCAUUUUUUUGUGUUCAUAGCUAUCAAACAACUUUCUUCCUUUGAAAUGUAUGGAGUCUAUUUUUUUAAGAUGAAAUCCCCUCUAAAUGUUAAUGUUUUAUUUUUUUUCUUUCUUUUUCAUCAUUUCCUAGUUAUUUGUGUUUCUCAUAGGCUUGGUCUCAUCCCUUC